rnacentral:rRNA from 1 species
UACGAACUGUGCAAACGUUAUUCGGAUUCACUGGGCUUAAAGGGUGCGUAGGCGGCCCUAUAAGUCAGUGGUGAAAUAUCGCAGCUUAACUGUGAGGGUGCCAUUGAUACUGUAGGGCUUGAGUGAAUUUGAGGUAGGCGGAAUUGACGGUGUAGCGGUGAAAUGCUUAGAUAUCGUCAAGAACACCGAUAGUGAAGACAGCUUACCAAGCUUCAACUGACGCUGAGGCACGAAAGUGUGGGGAUCAAACAGG